rnacentral:lncRNA from 1 species
CUGCUGCGCCUGAGCCCCAAGACCCCGCACCUGGGCGCGCGCUCUGGCGCAGUGCCUGGUGCGAUGUCCGCGUCAGCCUCUCUCCUCCGGGAGAGGCAGGGAGUGUGACGCCCAUUUUACCAGCGGGCAAACUGUGGCUUAGGGAUGCUGGGUGAUUUGCCCGAGGACGCACACAGAGGGAAGGGCCAAGCCGGGAUUCCAACUCGGGACUCCCCGCUUCUGGGGAGACCGGUGAGGCCCCCGCGACAUGGCCCUCCCAUCCCCAAGCCUCUCGUGCAGAUCUCCGCUCUGUGGGACUUGAUUGCGGGCUGCGGGCCCGUGGCUCCUGCAGGCAGAGAGAGGACGGGAGAGGAGACGGCUACGAGGCUUGGCCGCAGGAGAAUGAGAAGGCAGAUCAAAGUUACAGAUGCUGCGAGAACAUCGCCAAGCAGAAUCUUGGGUGCUGUCCCCACCUCUCUGUACCUGCUCCCUCCCAGAGAAGCCAGCCUCCACUUGCUGUCCCGGGCCUUCUCUAUCUGAGAAAAGUUGAAGGGAGCACAUGUCCUUGCGCAGGAAGAGGCUGUUCAGCGUGACCGCCCCGAUCAAGAAGAAGAGCUGCUUCACCGCCUGCCUCACAAGCUCGGGGUCCAGGCCGUUCUGGCACAUGGUGGUGUAAAAGUAGCUCAGCUGUUGCAGGACGGAGGUCAUGGUGUAGCCGUCCGUGUCGUCUAUGCUAGAGGAGCGCUUCCGGAAGCCUGUGGGCUUCAGGCCGGAAAUGCCCUGCAGGCUCUCAUACUCCAGCAUUCCCGGAACUGCGGAGAGACAGGGAGGCUGUGCUGACACGCCAGGAGACACACGCGGAACGUUCCCGACGCUCUUCGGUUUGUUUCAGGAGAUGGGACAUUUUUCUACAAGAGUCAGUGGAUGUACUUAUGAUAGAGAAAGCAAAAGAAUCAAGGGUUUGGGACACCAGGGUGUGUGUCAGGGUUAGGGAUGGACGGCUGUUUCCAGCGGGGCUGCAGCUCCUCUUGUAGGUUUGAAGCAGCACGUUUUUCAGCUUCACAGGAAAGAAAGCUGCUUAGCAUGACAAAUCAUGGCCUGGGCAUUAAAGCCUAAAGUAUUUAAAUUUCAGGAAAUUAAGGAAAGUAUACAAGAAUUCGAAUGGGGCUUUAGGAUUUCAAAAAUACUUGGCUACGCCAAGAAGUAGAAGUACCACAUAAAUAGCAGUAGUAGAAGUUUCCCCAAGUUUUUUCCUUCAGGAUAAAUCAUCCUUAUAUAAAGAAAACUACCAACAGCGUACUAUUAUUUAUGGAAUCAUUAUAAGCAAGCAAAGAAUUAAAAGGCAGAUAUCUACAUGAUUAUAUUUCCUUGGCUUUUUAAACAAUGUUACACAUAAUCACACAUUACACAUACCAAGUUUAUGUUUUAAAAAGUCUUAAUGUUACUAUAAAUAUUUUUUGGUCAUCCAUUCUCUUCUUACCUAUUAUCGGUUGGAUAUUCUUUUCCAUUAUGAUAAUAAAUUGAUGAUAUAUUCGUAUAGCCAC